UACGUAGGUGGCAAGCGUUAUCCGGAUUUAUUGGGCGUAAAGGGAACGCAGGCGGUCUUUUAAGUCUGAUGUGAAAGCCUUCGGCUUAACCGGAGUAGUGCAUUGGAAACUGGGAGACUUGAGUGCAGAAGAGGAGAGUGGAACUCCAUGUGUAGCGGUGAAAUGCGUAGAUAUAUGGAAGAACACCAGUAGCGAAUGCGGCUCUCUGGUCUGUAACUGACGCUGAGGUUCGAAAGCGUGGGGAGCAAACAGG
rnacentral:rRNA from 1 species